rnacentral:rRNA from 1 species
UACGUAGGGUGCGAGCGUUUGUCCGGAAUUAUUGGGCGUAAAGAGCUUGUAGGUGGUUUGUCGCGUCUGCUGUGAAAAUCCGAGGCUCAACCUCGGACUUGCAGUGGGUACGGGCAGACUAGAGUGUGGUAGGGGAGACUGGAAUUCCUGGUGUAGCGGUGGAAUGCGCAGAUAUCAGGAGGAACACCGAUGGGCGAAGGCAGGUCUCUGGGCC